rnacentral:rRNA from 1 species
GAAACUGCUCAAAGGUAAACGGGUGGGCCCUCGAAAUCCUGUGGCGAGAGGAUUCAGUCCGGGGGCGCGGACGCGGUGGCGGAAAUCAGCAGGGCUUCCCCCGAACGGGGGCCGUCUGCCGCCGCGCCUUUCGCGUCCUCGGACGCAUCUGAUUCUCGUCCGAAGGACGCUGCAGCCGGUCCGGCAGUGCAAACGUGACGGCCUGAAGGUCGGGAAAUGGCAGGUGGCCGGUGGCUCGCCUCGUGCGGGUCGUCGGUUGUUAGCCGUCCCGUCAGUGGCCCGUCGCCGGACCGUGGUGUCGCGAGUCCCUCUAGGGACUCAUCGUCUCCACCCCGUGGUUGCGGGACGGAUCGUGGCAAGGGAGUCACGCCCUCGCCUUCGCACUCUUUCGAGUGGACGGAGAGACUGGGCGCCCCGUUGGCCGCGGCGGACCCGUCGGGGACCGGAGGCUGGCAGCGAGUAGGUCGGUCACCCACCCGACCCGUCUUGAAACACGGACCAAGGAGUCUAACAUGUGCGCGAGUCAAUGGGUCUUGAACAGGCCCAGGGGCGCAAUGAAAGCGAAGGGAUUCCUAGCGUUUCCCGAGCGGGGAUCCCGGUCCAAUUGGGCCGGGCGCACCCGCGACCCGUCCUGUGCCGCUCGCGGCUUGGGCGGAGUCUGAGCGUACACGUUGGGACCCGAAAGAUGGUGAACUAUGCCCGGACAGAAUGAAGCCAGAGGAAACUCUGGUGGAGGUUCGCAGCGGUUCUGACGUGCAAAUCGAUCGUCAGAUCCGGGUCUAGGGGCGAAAGACUAAUCGAACC